rnacentral:rRNA from 1 species
AGAGUUUGAUUCUGGCUCAGAUUGAACGCUGGCGGCGUGCUUAACACAUGCAAGUCGAACGUGAAAGUCCUUCGGGGCGAGUAAAGUGGCGCACGGGUGAGUAACGCGUGGAUAAUCUACCCUUAAGAUGGGGAUAACGGCUGGAAACGGUCGCUAAUACCGAAUACGCUCCCGAUUUUAUCGUUGGGGGGAAAGAUGGCCUCUGCUUGCAAGCUAUCGCUUAAGGAUGAGUCCGCGUCCCAUUAGCUAGUUGGCGGGGUAACGGCCCACCAAGGCGACGAUCGGUAGCCGGUCUGAGAGGAUGACCGGCCACACUGGAACUGGAACACGGUCCAGACUCCUACGGGAGGCAGCAGUGGGGAAUAUUGCGCAAUGGGCGAAAGCCUGACGCAGCGACGCCGCGUGAGGGAUGAAGGUUCUCGGAUCGUAAACCUCUGUCAGGGGGGAAGAAACCCCCUCGUGUGAAUAAUGCGAGGGCUUGACGGUACCCCCAAAGGAAGCACCGGCUAACUCCGUGCCAGCAGCCGCGGUAAUACGGAGGGUGCAAGCGUUAAUCGGAAUUACUGGGCGUAAAGCGCACGUAGGCGGCUUGGUAAGUCAGGGGUGAAAUCCCACAGCCCAACUGUGGAACUGCCUUUGAUACUGCCAGGCUUGAGUACCGGAGAGGGUGGCGGAAUUCCAGGUGUAGGAGUGAAAUCCGUAGAUAUCUGGAGGAACACCGGUGGCGAAGGCGGCCACCUGGACGGUAACUGACGCUGAGGUGCGAAAGCGUGGGUAGCAAACAGGAUUAGAUACCCUGGUAGUCCACGCUGUAAACGAUGGGUGCUGGGUGCUGGGAUGUAUGUCUCGGUGCCGUAGCUAACGCGAUA